rnacentral:lncRNA from 1 species
AAUGAUAUCGAAAAAUAAUAAAAUUUAUUUUCUAGGUACUUCAAAUACUCUAGAUCAAGUUUAACGGAGCCGAUCGACGAUUCGAAAGUCGCAACAUCGAAAACGAGCUGGAAGCACGGAAGGCUCCGUGCUUCCGAUAGCAUAGUAGCCUCACUAUAUAUAUAUAUAUAUAUAUAUAUAAUUAGGCUGGAAUACUAUUAAUAGUAAAAUGCUCUUUUUGCUAUCAAGUUUUUAACCCUUGGAUGAAAAAUUGUAGGGUCGGUAUGAUAUUAGUCGGUUAGAAUUGAAUGGUCCCCCUAGGGUUGAGUGGUCCCCACUGGGUUAUAAUAUUUAAUCCAAUGGUUAGAAAUAAUGAAAAGAGUUGAUCCAAAGGCUAAAAAACUGGUAGCAACAAUAGAAUUUUGCUACUAAUAGUAGCCCAGUCCAACUCUAUAUAUAUAUAUAGUGGGCCGGUAUGCUUAUGGAAACACGUAGCCCUCCGUGCUUUCAAGUUGUUUUCGAUAUUCGGACUUUCAAAUCGACGAUCGGCUCCGUUAGAGUUGAUCUAGAGUAUUUGAAGUACCUAGAAAAUAAAUUUUGUGAUUUUUCGAUAUCAUUUGCCUAGUGAUCGAAGGGGCUCAAAAUUAAUAAUUUUAAUGGCUGUGGUGAGCCGGUUGCAAGUUUAACGAUAUAAAAAUAUUCAAAUCUCAUGAAAUUUUGAUAGAAAAUUCUUUAUAUCAUAUAAAACAAGAUCACUAACUUUGAUCUUAAAUUUUAAUGUCAUAUCAUCAUAUUUUGUAAGAUUUUUAUUUUCAGCCGUUGAUUUUGAGCCACUUCGAUCACUAGGCAAAUGAUAUCGAAAAAUCGGAAAAAUUUUUUUCUAGAUACUUUAAAUACUCUAGAUUAAGUCUAACGGAGCCGAUCGUCGAUUCGAAAGUCUGAACAUCGAAAACAAAGUGGAAGUACGGAGCCCUCCGUGCUUCCAUAAGCAUCCUAGCCUCUCUCUCUCUCUCUCUCUCUCUCUCUCUCUCUCUCUCUAUAUAUAUAUAUAUAUAUAUAUGGAGUUUGACUGGGCUACUAUCGGUAGUAAACUGCUCGGUUUACUACCGAUUUGUUUUUGAUGAUAGACCUUCCAAAUCGACGAUCGGCACUGUUGAACAUGAUCUAGACCAUUUAAAUUAUCUAGAAAUCAAAUUUCAUAAUUUUUUGGCAUCACUAACUGAACGAUCAAAGGGUCACAAAAUCUAUAAUUUUAAUGGCCGAUAUGGUGCUAUUGCUCGUUUAACGGUAUAGAAAAGUUCAAAUCAACAAAAUUUUUGUUAAAAAAUUCUUUAAACUAUUUAAAAUAAGAUCUAGACUCUAGAUCUUAAAUAUAAAAAUUGUAUCAUCACUUUUUGAAGGAUAUUCAUUUCCAGCCAUUCACUUUUCUGUUCACUUGAUGGACAAGAGAACAAUAUCGAAAAUGUGUGAAAUGUGAUUUCCGGAUAGUUUAAAUAGGUUAGAUCAUGUUUAACGGUGCCGAUCAUCAAUUUGGAAGCUCUAUCAUCGAAAACAAAUCGGUAAUAAACUGAGCCGUUUACUACCGAUAGUAUUCUAGCAAAACUAUAUAUAUAUAUAUAUAUAUAUAGAGUAGGGCUAGAAUACUUGUAAAAGUAUCAUGGGGGUGAUACUUGUGUGUUUUUAGCCCUUGGAUGGAGAGAUGUGAGGUUGAGAUGAUGGUGGUAGGUGGUGGUAGGUGGAAUAGUGUUUAAUCCAAGAGCUAUUAAUUAUCAAAAAGUAG